UUAAUAUCAGACUCUGUAUGGUUCUUAGCCCUUUCUCAUCCCUGCAGCUAAAGGCAUGUGGUCCUCUGUUCCUAUACCAAACAGUAUCAGUUAAGAUGGAGAUUUCAGGGGCCUUGUUUUUACAUACUGUUGAAAUCAAUCCUGCUUUAGCUAAGUCUGUUUUGGGCCUAAUUUCCAGAUUCCUAAUUCUUGGGAUUGUUUUCUCCAGCUGAGGAAUUCUUAACCAAACAAGAGACUUGUUUUUUCAUUUCCUAAUCUGAUGAUUCCCUUUUCUAUCACCUGUUUUUAAGACUUAAUUCCUGCCUCUAAACUCCAGCUAAGUGUUGCCUUUUGAGCCUAAUCCUUAUAUCUCUGGAAGUCAGUAUUUUCUACCUGUCAGGCCUCUGAGCCCAAGCUAAGCCAUCAUAUCCCCUGUGACAUGCACAUACACAUCCAGAUGGCUGGUUCCUGCCUUAAGUGAUGACAUUCCACCACAAAAGAAGUGAAAAUGGCCUGUUCCUGCCUUAACUGAUGACAUUGUCUUGUGAAAUUCCUUCUCCUGGCUCAAAAGCUCCCCCACUGAGUACCUUGUGACCCCCACUCCUGCCCACCAGAGAACAACCCCCCUUUUUCCUUUACCUACCCAAAUCCUAUAAAAGGGCCACACCCCUAUCUCCCUUCGCUGACUCUCUUUUCAGACUCAGCCUGCCUGCACCCAGGUGAUUAAAAACUUUAUUGCUCACACAAAGCCUGUUUGGUGGUCUCUUCACAGGGACAUGCAUGAAAUUUGGUGCCGUGACUCAGAUCGGGGGACCUCCUUUGGGAGAUCAAUCCCCUGUCCUCCUGAUCUUUACUCCAUGAGAAAGAUCCACCUACAACCUCAAGUCCUCAGACUGACCAGCCCAAGAAACAUCUCACCAAUUUCAAAUCCGGACCCUACUGAAAAUCAGACUGUUCAACUCACCUGGCAGCCACUCCCAGAGCCCCUGGAACUCUGGCCCAAGGCUCUCUGACUGACUCCUUCCCAGAUCUUCUCAGCUUAGCAGCUGAAGACUGACACUGCCCAAUCGCCUCAGAAGCCUACAGGACCAUCACAGAUGCUCUAGACUCAGCCCGCCUGCACCCAGGUGAAAUAAACAGCCAUGUUGCUCACACAAAGCCUGUUUGGUGGUCUCUUCACACGGAUGUGCAUGAAACUACCUACACCCAUACGGAAGGGAACAAAUCAUGAAAAGUAAUGGAAUGCUACAGCCUAGUCAGUUUUGAGAAAAGGCUAACCAACAACAACAACAACAAAUCAUAGUCAUGCUCAGAUUGCACAUGAACAAAAAAAUGUUGGAGAGAAACCAUUGAAAUAACUCACCGGUCCUCUUGUGUUGCUGCUUAUCUGAUUAUCUGAGGUCAAGGGAACUGAGGACAACAAAGGAAAUUAGGUCUUUCAUAGUUCUCAUUAAAUGCUGGAGGAGUCUGACUACUGCUGAGCUGAGCACUUCAGCGGCUUUGGAAAAGGAAGUGUGGUUACUUAUUUCACCACCUUCAUUGUGCUGGAGGAAAUAAGAAAUAGCUCUGAGACUAAUAAUAACAGAAACGGCAUCCACAGCAGCAGAGCCCAGUUGCACUUCCUAAAGGCAGUAUAAAUAAUUAAGUGUCUCUAUAGGCAAGCCACUAGGAAUAAACGAAAAAGAGCUGCAAUUGCUGAUGUGGUUUCACCCCAGUCCUGCCCAUGUUUCUUAACAGGAAAGGGAGUUGCAAUGCCAAUAAUAAAAUCUUAGAGCUGGAAAGAACAUUUAUUUGCCUGUUUAUUCAUUCAUUUACUCAGUCAUUAUUGGGCACUUACGGUAGACUAGUCGUUAUGUUACCUACUAGGAGCUUGGAUAUCACCCACUUUUAUGUCUUCAUUCUUUGAGCGAAGAGCUAUCUACAUGGUGAGUCCAAAAGUGCACAAGAGGAAACCUGGCUUGUCCAAACCAAGGGCUAUAACUUAGUUUCCUAACUGCCCAGCAAAAAUAUUUUCAGUUAGGCUCCACUUUAACUCUUAAAAAUGUGGCUUGUGAAUUACUUGAUGAAUAAUUUUACUUUCUUGAUUAUAUUAAGCACAAAAAGGAAGAGAAACACAAUUACAAUAUUAAAAUUGUGAAAGGCAUCUCACCAAGGUGCUUCUUCUGAGAACUCCAUGUCUCCAUUGCUUAUCUGAAACCUUUAUUUUGCUUGGCCUCUGGGUCCCACUGCCUCUGGAUUUACUUCUCACCUGCUGACUGCUCCUUCUUUUUUACUUUUUCUGUGUGCUCUCCAUCUUCCUGACCUCUUUAAUUUGAAUGUCCUGGGACUCAGCCCUUUGGCUUCUCUUUGCAAUCAGUGCACACACUCUAGAUUUACCCAUCCAAUGCCACAGCCUUAAAUAACAUCAAUAUUCUUCUGAUGGCUCUCAAAGUAAUAUAUUUUGCUCUGACGUCCCUCUUUAAUUCUACAUGUAUAUCAGACUGUCUGUCUAUUUGGCAGCCCCAGUGUGAUGUUCCUCUAGAAUCACUACCUUAACAUAUGUGAAACAAACUCUUUUCACCCCACCCCUCACCAAAAAAAUCUAUUUUUUAUAUACGUAUCCAUUCAAGAAAAGGAAACCUUCUUUCAUUUGCUCGGGUAAAACACUCUGAGUAACCGGUUCCUCUAAUUUCUCUAUUUCCCAUAUUCAGUCCAUGAGCAAAUUUUACAACUGUUAACUUUGAAAUAAUACACACAGCAUCCAAUCACUUAUCUAAACUCUGUCGCUGCCGCUCGGGUCUAAGCACCAUCAUGUCUCACCUGGAUUAUUGUGACAGUCUUCUUAAUGGGUUUUCUGCAUUUCCUUUUUGCUCCACUGUAGUCUAUGCUUCUCAGAGCAGCCUAAGUCAAUCCUCUGCUCAAAAUGCUCCAAUGCACACUGCACUCUAUCAAAGCUCUAACUAUUGCUAAAAUGACCCAUUGUCUCCUUUAUUCCUGCUACCUCUCAAGUCACAUGCCCUAUCCCCUAUGCCUCCUCCAACUGUCCCUCUGACGCAGCUAUCGAGUACCUUGCUGUUCCUCAAACACAGUAAGCACACCCUAUCUUAGGGUGUUUGCAUUAUCUAUGCAAAAACACUGCAUGGUGUGCUUUUUUUUGCUAUGCACCCGCAUGGUUUAUCUUCACAGAGAUCUUGGCUAACACUAGCACCUUUUCAUUCUAUGGUCCUUUCCUCUGCUUUAUUUUUCUCUUUGCACCUUUCACCGUCUGAUCCAUACUUUUUGAUUGUUUUCCCCUCAAGGACAUAAGCACCAUGACAAUAGGAAUGUCACUUUAUUUAUUUAUGUCUCCUUCUACGUAAGUGCAUUGGCCCCAGAAAUCUAGACCUCUAAUUAUAAAGAGGCCAUUUUUUUUUCCUCCAGCUUCAAAAUAAUUGCACUUCAAAAUUGUAAUACUUUGUGAACAAAGGAAAAAGAUUUAAAAUUAUGGGUCUAGGGUCAAGGCAAUGGUGGAAGAUAAAAAGGAAAGAUGUUACAUUCCUUGGGGGACAAGGUUGGUCUUGAAGAAGAAAGAAAACAAUGAGGAUGUUGAAUGAAGUAAAAAACAAUGUUGGCCAGGCGCGGCGACUCACGCCUGUAAUCCCAGCACUUUGGGAGGCAAAGGCGGGUGGAUCACAAGGUCAGGAGUUUGAGACCAGCCUGGCCAACAUAGUGAAACCUCGUCUCUACUGAAAAUACAAAAAUUAGCCGGGCAUGGUGGUGCACGCCUAUAGUCCCAGCUACUCUAGGGGCUGAGCCAGGAGAAUCGCUUGAACCCAGGAGGCGGAGGUUGUGGUGAGCUGAGAUCACGCCACCUCAUUCCAGCCUGAGCAGCCAACCGAGAC
rnacentral:lncRNA from 10 species